rnacentral:rRNA from 1 species
GAUGAACGCUGGCGGCGUGCCUAAUACAUGCAAGCCGAGCGAACAGACGAGGAGCUUGCUCCUCUGACGUUAGCGGCGGACGGGUGAGUAACACGUGGAUAACCUACCUAUAAGACUGGGAUAACUUCGGGAAACCGGAGCUAAUACCGGAUAAUAUAUUGAACCGCAUGGUUCAAUAGUGAAAGACGGUUUUGCUGUCACUUAUAGAUGGAUCCGCGCCGCAUUAGCUAGUUGGUGAGGUAACGGCUUACCAAGGCAACGAUGCGUAGCCGACCUGAGAGGGUGAUCGGCCACACUGGAACUGAGACACGGUCCAGACUCUUACGGGAGGCAGCAGUAGGGAAUCUUCCGCAAUGGGCGAAAGCCUGACGGAGCAACGCCGCGUGAGUGAUGAAGGUCUUCGGAUCGUAAAACUCUGUUAUUAGGGAAGAACAAAUGUGUAAGUAACUAUGCACGUCUUGACGGUACCUAAUCAGAAAGCCACGGCUAACUACGUG